UUGAAAAGAAGAUACUUCAGCCUACCCUCCAUUAUCCUUUUCAAUAGUAAUGAAAUCAGGAAACAUAUACCUGUUUGGUACAGUGGAACUCUACCAACAGAGUAAUAAAAUCUCCUGUAAAAGUCUUUUUGUAUAUUGAAUCCAAGAACCCCACUCCAGUGCUGUAUGAAAUGGAGAACAAAAUAAUCAAAGCACUAUUUCCUAUAAUAAUUUUGGCAGUGUUCAGGAUAAAGAAAACCACUCAGAAGAAUCACUUGCAAAGCAAGAGAAACAGUGUUCCAGCAACCGUCACAGUCGGUAAGAAGGAACUGAAGGGGUGACAGGACAUCACAUACCUAUAUACUACAGUAUGAAGGUGCCACUCCAAGGGGCACCAGAGUCAAGCCGACGGAUACCACUAGGGGAAAAACUUCUGGUGAUGGUGCAGUCACACCUACAUUGGAAUAGACAUGAGCAAGCACUCAAAGAACUCCAGUUACUAUAAGGUCCUGAUGGCAGGAUGGAGCUGAGAAACAGGUGGAGUGCUGGGGCCUGAAGCGUUUUCUCAAAGGAACCUGGGCAUAAAGACCUAGGGACUUGAGGGUGGCUGUGGAGUCUUUCAGACCAUGGAGCUUUGCAUCUCUUUGCUCUGAGAACAGCAAAGCACCUUCAGACAGAAAGGCUGAAUGGACUGCUGGACCUCCAUUGGCACUCCUGAGGAGUGGAGCCAAGAGCAUCUGCUUAUGAUCACCGCAGAAGUCAUGGAUCUAGCCGCCAAGUCUUUUGCGUCGAGGGGAACCUGCAGGGAAGUCUUGGCUACGGACUUACACUCCUCUACCAGAGCAGAGAACUCCUGGGGAAUUGAGUCCUUUAA